rnacentral:rRNA from 1 species
UUGGGAAUCUUGGACAUUGGGGGCAACCCUGAUCCAGCCAUGCCGCGUGAGUGAUGAAGGCCCUAGGGUCGUAAAGCUCUUUCGCCUGUGAAGAUAAUGACGGUAGCAGGUAAAGAAACCCCGGCUAACUCCGUGCCAGCAGCCGCGGUAAUACGGAGGGGGUUGGCGUUGUACGGAAUUACUGGGCGUAAAGCGCAUGUAGGCGGAUCUUUAAGUCGGGGGUGAAAUCCGGGGGCUCAACCCCGGAACUGCCUUCGAUACUGGGGAUCUUGAGGUCGAGAGAGGUGAGUGGAAUUCCGAGUGUAGAGGUGAAAUUCGUAGACAUUCGGAGGAACACCAGUGGCGAAGGCGGCUCACUGGCUCGAUACUGACGCUGAGAUGCGAAAGCGUGGGGAGCAAACAGGAUUAGAUACCCCCGUAGUCC